rfam:Deinococcus hopiensis KR-140 genome assembly, contig: Deiho_DHC.10
CGACGAAAAGGCAAACCCUGCGCGAGCAGGGGGCGCAAAGCCACGGGACUCACGCAGUCAGCCGGGCCACCGAAA